GCAGCUCUGAGGUAGAGCAUCUGCCUUAGAUGCAUAAGGUCCUAUGUUCAAUCUCUGAGAUCAGCA